rnacentral:tRNA from 2 species
GGGUGAUUAGCUCAGUUGGUAGAGCGCUUCGCUUACACCGAAGAUGUCGGGAGUUCGAGUCUCUCAUCACCCACCA